GAUAUACUCCCUCCGUCCAGAAAUACUUGUCAGAGAAAUGGUUGUAACUAGACGUAUUUUAGUUCUAGAUACAUCCAUUUUUGUCCAUUUCUCCGACAAGUAUUUUCGGACGGAGGGAGUAUUUU
rnacentral:pre_miRNA from 1 species